CCGAGCCCAGCCCAGCCCAGCCCGGCUCCGUCCUGCCCCGCCGCCGCGAUGAGGAGCCGCGCCUGGGGAGCCGCGCCGUGCCACUUACCGUGGCUCGGCCAUGGACGAGGUCUCUUCUAUGGACAUUGAACUGCCAGCUACCUAUGCCUAUUGCCUGUGAUGGAAGAACUUGAUGUUAAUGUGAGUUCGAGUGAGGGCUUUGGCGUAGCGGAGAGGAUUGUGCUGCUCACCUUCAUCUCCGCCGUUAUACUGAUGGCCAUCCUGGGGAACCUGCUGGUGAUGGUGGCCGUGUGCCGGGACAGGCAGCUCAGGAAAAUCAAGACCAAUUAUUUCAUUGUUUCCCUUGCCUUUGCGGACCUGCUGGUGUCAGUGCUGGUGAUGCCAUUUGGAGCCAUUGAGUUGGUUCAGGACAACUGGAUCUAUGGGGAAAUGUUCUGCCUUGUCCGGACAUCCCUCGAUGUCCUGCUCACCACAGCAUCAAUCCUGCACCUCUGCUGUAUUUCACUGGACAGGUACUAUGCUAUCUGCUGCCAGCCUCUGGUUUACAGGAACAAGAUGACUCCGUUGCGCAUUGCUGUAAUGCUUGGAGGGUGCUGGGUAAUCCCAACAUUUAUUUCUUUCCUCCCUAUCAUGCAAGGCUGGAAUAGUAUUGGCAUCAUUGAUCUGGUUCAGCAAAGGCAGUUCAACAAGGCUUCCAACUCCACCUACUGCAUAUUCAUGGUCAACAAGCCAUACGCCAUUACCUGCUCCGUGGUGGCCUUCUACAUUCCCUUCCUCCUGAUGGUGCUGGCUUACUACCGCAUCUACAUCACAGCCAGGGAGCACGCCCGGCAGAUCAGGGUGCUGCAGCGCGCAGGGGCCCCCACCGACGGCCGGCAGCACCACCCGGACCAGCACAGCACGCACCGCAUGAAGACUGAGACCAAAGCUGCCAAGACCCUGUGCAUCAUCAUGGGGUGCUUCUGCCUGUGCUGGGCCCCCUUCUUUGUCACAAACAUAGUGGACCCUUUCAUAAACUACACCGUGCCAGGGAAGCUGUGGACGGCUUUCCUGUGGCUGGGCUACAUCAAUUCAGGGUUGAACCCUUUCCUCUACGCCUUCCUGAACAAGUCUUUCAGACGUGCCUUCCUCAUCAUCCUGUGCUGUGGUGAUGAGCGAUACCGAAGGCCUUCCAUCUUGGGGCAGACAGUCCCGUGUUCCACCACCACAAUAAAUGGAUCGACUCAUGUACUAAGGUACACUGUUUUACAUAAUGGGCAUCAUCAGGAACAUGAGAAGCUUCCCAUCCACAAUGACCCUGAAUCCCAAGAGUCCUGUUUCUAGUCACAGUCCUAGACGAGGAAUAGCUCAGCUGAAGGGACAGAUUCCUUUAGGAUAACCAAAGGAUUCAUGGACAGCAGGACUUUAUGAAAACUUAUUCACCUGCAUUGUCAUGGUGCCUCCACCCCUGACUUCACAUGAAUAUCCAGCUGCAUUUGAAGUGAGAAGUUUCAAGACUUUCAAAUAUCCUCAUAUGCACACCUCCGUUUGCAAAGAUCUCAGUCUUUAGCUGCUUCCUGCAUGUAGAUGUUGCUAUGUUCCUUGUGAGCUGCUUCCACCUUUGCAUGGAAAGGGUAGGCAAUACUGUAGACUUCACAACUUUGGGAAGAUGAUAUUCAUGCAGUGGGAAGUAUGCAGGAUGAAGACUACGAGCCUCUACCCUUUUUAGAUGAAGAUCUAACCCAGAGAUGUCACCCUGGGCCUAGAAAAUAAAAUCGUACUUUGUUA